rnacentral:rRNA from 1 species
AUAGCGCAUAGUACUGUGAAGGAAAGGUGAAAAGGACCCCGGGAGGGGAGUGAAAGAGAACCUGAAACCUUGUGCCUACAAGCACAUAGAGCCCGUCAAAGGGUGAUAUGGUACUUUUUGUAGAACGGUCCGGCGAGCGAUUGUACGUUGCGAGCUUAAGGUCUUAAGGACUGGAGGCGUAGCGAGAGCGAGUCUAAACAGGGCGUUUAGUAGCGUGCAAUGGGCCCGAAACCGGGUGACCUACCCAUGAUCAGGCUGAAGUGAAAGUAAAAUUUCAUGGAGGGCCGAACCGACCUCCGUUGAAAAGGCGGCGGAUGAAUUGUGGGUAGCGGAGAAAUUCCAAUCGAACUCGGAGAUAGCUGGUUCUCCCCGAAAUAGCUUUAGGGCUAGCCUCAUGUUAGAUAUCCGGAGGUAAAGCACUGAAUGGCCUAGCGUCCGAGAGGAUAGCGAAGCCUAUCAAACUAAGAAUGCCGGAAUAUUGAUGCAUGGGAGUCAGACAGUGUGAGAUAAAUCUCAUUGUCAAAAGGGAAACAGCCCAGAUCUACAGCUAAGGUCCCAAAUUGUAUCUAAGUGGAAAACGAUGUGGAAAUACGCAGACAACCAGGAUGUUGGCUCAGAAGCAGCCACUCAUUUAAAGAGUGCGUAAUAGCUCACUGGUCGAGCGUCUCUGCGCGGAAAAUUUAACGGGGCUAAGAUACAAACCGAAGCUUAGGCUGCACUUUUAGUGCGGGGUAGGGGAGCGUUGUGUAAGCGGAGAAACAGUAGCGAAAGCGGCUGUGGAGUUUACAGAAGUGAGAAUGCCGGAAUGAGUAGCGCGAAUGAUGUGAGAAUCAUCAUGGCCGGAAACCUCAGGUUUUUGGAGGAAGGUUCGUCCGCUCCAAGUUAGGCGGGAGCUAAGGUGAGGCCGAAAGGCGUAGCCGAUGCACAGACGGUAGAGAUUCCGUCACCACCAAAAGAGUUAAGCACAGGGACACAUUUGAAGUCUCAGAGCCGGGUGUUGGUUCCGGUAGAGAUCGAGGGAAAUUAGUACCGAAGUCUGAGAUGGAAGAUGGCGAGAAAAGCUGUGUGUAUUUCUGAGGUGCCCGUACCGCAAACCGACACAGGUAGGUAGGAAGAAGAUUCUAAGGCCAACGGGAGAAGGGUUGUUAAGGAACUCGGCAAGUUGACCCCGUAACUUCGGAAUAAGGGGUGCUCAUGAAAGUGAGCCGCAGAGAAUAGGCCCAGGCAACUGUUUACCAAAAACACAGGUUUGUGCUAAAUCGAAAGAUGACGUAUACGAGCUGACGCCUGCCCGGUGCUGGAAGGUUAAAAGGAGAUGUGCAAGCAUUGAAUUGAAGCCCCAGUGAACGGCGGCCGUAACUAUAACGGUCCUAAGGUAGCGAAAUUCCUUGUCAGGUAAGUUCUGACCCGCACGAAAGGCGUAAUGAUUUGGGCACUGUCUCAACAGCCCGCCCGGCGAAAUUGUAGUACCGGUGAAGAUGCCGGUUACCCGCGACAAGACG